rnacentral:rRNA from 1 species
GCCAGCAUCCUAGCCGAAGCGCGGACCUCAGUCCCGGCUGGCCGUAUUACACCCUGGGCUAUAACACCUCCACCGAAGUGGAGGCCACAUUCCCAGAGCCUUUAUCCGGCCGCCGAAACUGAUGCUGGCCUGUCCAAACUGAGUAAACCGGUCAGAAGACCGGCCGAACAGUUUAAACAAGUCUGAUUGCAAGCGCUUCCCUUUCAACAAUUUCACGUGCUUUUUAACUCUCUUUCCAAAGUGCUUUUCAUCUUUCGAUCACUCUACUUGUGCGCUAUCGGUCUCUCGCCAAUAUUUAGCUUUAGAAGAAAUUUACCUCCCAUUUAGAGCUGCAUUCCCAAACAACUCGACUCGUCGAAGGAGAUUUACAUAGGGUGCCAUUUCCUGUCACAUACGGGAUUCUCACCCUCUAUGACGUCCUGUUCCAAGGAACUUAGACAGGCGGCUUCCCCAAAUCAUCCUCUACAAAUUACAAUGCGAACCCGAAGGCUAGCUUUCAAAUUUGAGCUGUUGCCGCUUCACUCGCCGUUACUAGGGCAAUCCCUG